GACGAACGCUGGCGGCGUGCUUAACACAUGCAAGUCGAACGGUGAGGAGGAGCUUGCUCCUCCGAUCAGUGGCGAACGGGUGAGUAACACGUGAGUAACCUGCCCAGACCCUGGGAUAACAGUUGGAAACAGCUGCUAAUACCGGAUACGAGACGGAGAGGCAUCUCUACCGUCUGGAAAGAUUUAUCGGUCUGGGAUGGACUCGCGGCCUAUCAGCUUGUUGGUGAGGUAAAGGCUCACCAAGGCGACGACGGGUAGCCGGCCUGAGAGGCGACCGGCCACACUGGGACUGAGACACGGCCCAGACUCCUACGGGAGGCAGCAGUGGGGAAUAUUGCACAAUGGGCGAAAGACCUGAUGCAGCGACGCCGCGUGAGGGAUGACGGCCUC
rnacentral:rRNA from 1 species